UACGUAGGUGGCAAGCGUUGUCCGGAAUUACUGGGUGUAAAGGGAGCGUAGGCGGGAAAGCAAGUUGAAUGUUUAAGGUACGGGCUCAACCUGUACAAGCGUUCAAAACUGUUUUUCUUGAGUGGAGUAGAGGUAAGCGGAAUUCCUAGUGUAGCGGUGAAAUGCGUAAAUAUUAGGAGGAACACCAGUGGCGAAGGCGGCUUACUGGGCUUUAACUGACGCUGAGGCUCGAAAGCGUGGGUAGCAAACAGG
rnacentral:rRNA from 1 species